UACAGAGGGUGCUAGCGUUGUCCGGAAUCACUGGGCGUAAAGGGCGCGUAGGUGGUGACCUAAGCGUGCGGUGAAAGCCCGAGGCUCAACCUCGGGUCGGCCGUGCGAACUGGGUCACUGGAGCAGAAUAGAGGCAGGUGGAAUUCCGGGUGUAGCGGUGGAAUGCGUAGAGAUCCGGAAGAACACCGGUGGCGAAGGCGGCCUGCUGGGUUCUGGCUGACACUGAGGCGCGACAGCGUGGGGAGCAAACAGG
rnacentral:rRNA from 1 species